GGGAGUACGAUCGCAAGACUUGUUACUCUAAUUAUUUUUCGUGUUUCCCUUAUAUGCGGUGGUACAUGUGGUUUAAUUCGAUGAUACGCGAGGAACCUUACCUGGUCUUAAAUGUGAAGUGCAUUGUUUGGAAACAGACAUUUCCUUCGGUACUCUUUACAAGCUGCUGCAUGGUUGUCGUCAGCUCGUUCCGUGAGGUGUCGGGUUAAGUCCCAUAACGAGCGCAACCCCUAUUGUUAGUUACCAGCGCGUCAAGGCGGGGACUCUAACGAGACUGCCGGUGUAAUCCGCGAGGAAUGGUGGGGAUGACGUCAAAUCAGCACGGCCCUUAUGUCCAGGGCUACACACGUGUUACAAUGGUCGGUACAGAGGGCAGCUAGGCAGCGAUGUCAAGCGAAUCUCGUAAGCCGAUCCCAGUUCGGAUUGGAGUCUGCAACCCGACUCCAUGAAGGUGGAAUCGCUAGUAAUCGCGCAUCAGCCAUGGCGCGGUGAUACGUUCCCGGGCAUUGUACACACCGCCCGUCAAGCCAUGGAAGUCUGGGGUGCAUGAAGCCGUAACCGCAAGGAG
rnacentral:rRNA from 1 species